rnacentral:rRNA from 1 species
UAUCGACCUCGGAUCAAGUAGGAUUACCCGCUGAACUUAAGCA